CCCUACCUAUCUACAAACCUGUCUGCUCAAUAUUCAAUCAAUCUCUAUGAGAAUAAACAUCACCAUCUAUCUACCCACCUAUCUAUCAAUGCUCGCUUACUAGCUGACUACCUACUGAUCUAUCUACUUACCUGCUUGAAUGAAUGAUAUCUAAUCGUGAUAGACAGUUGUAUAUCAAAUAUGACAAUGACUAUAAUUAGUUCACUUUUUGUUUUUCACUUUUAACUUUCACUUUUUUACUUUUUUGAUGACAUUUAUGGAUUAAAUAUUGGUUUUUUUUCAAAAUAUUUUUUAAAGUUAAUUAAAAUGAAAAGAUCUAUUUCUGCGGU
rnacentral:sRNA from 2 species